rnacentral:sRNA from 1 species
GGGCCUAGAGCGCUGCCGGGGGCGCCGGGACUAUGUCGCGGGCGCGGAGCCACCUGCGCGCCGCUCUAUUCCUGGCAGCAGCGUCUGCGCGCGGCGUAACGACCCAGGUCGCGGCGCGGCGGGGCUUGAGCGCGUGGCCGGUGCCGCAGGAGCCCAGCAUGGAGUACCAGGAUGCCGUGCGAAUGCUCAAUACCCUGCAGACCAAUGCCGGCUACCUGGAGCAGGUGAAGCGCCAGCGGGGUGACCCUCAGACACAGCUGGAAGCCAUGGAACUGUACCUAGCACGGAGUGGGCUGCAGGUGGAGGACUUGGACCGGCUGAACAUCAUCCACGUCACUGGGACGAAGGGGAAGGGCUCCACCUGUGCCUUCACGGAAUGUAUCCUCCGAAGCUAUGGCCUGAAGACGGGAUUCUUUAGCUCUCCCCACCUGGUGCAGGUUCGGGAGCGGAUCCGCAUCAAUGGGCAGCCCAUCAGUCCUGAGCUCUUCACCAAGUACUUCUGGCGCCUCUACCACCGGCUGGAGGAGACCAAGGAUGGCAGCUGUGUCUCCAUGCCCCCCUACUUCCGCUUCCUGACACUCAUGGCCUUCCACGUCUUCCUCCAAGAGAAGGUGGACCUGGCAGUGGUGGAGGUGGGCAUUGGCGGGGCUUAUGACUGCACCAACAUCAUCAGGAAGCCUGUGGUGUGUGGAGUCUCCUCUCUUGGCAUCGACCACACCAGCCUCCUGGGGGAUACGGUGGAGAAGAUCGCAUGGCAGAAAGGGGGCAUCUUUAAGGUGACCAGGCAGACUGGGGGAAGGGAGAGACAUGGAAGGCCUGGGAGUCUACGUUUUCAUCCUGGCUUCACUGUGUGACUGGAACAACAAGGUGUCCCUGCCUUCACUGUGCUCCAACCUGAAGGUCCCCUGGCAGUGCUGAGGGACCGAGCCCAGCAGAUCUCAUGUCCUCUAUACCUGUGUCCGAUGCUGGAGGCCCUCGAGGAAGGGGGGCCGCCGCUGACCCUGGGCCUGGAGGGGGAGCACCAGCGGUCCAACGCCGCCUUGGCCUUGCAGCUGGCCCACUGCUGGCUGCAGUGGCAGGACCGCCAUGGUGCUGGGGAGCCAAAGGCAUCCAGGCCAGGGCUCCUGUGGCAGCUGCCCCUGGCACCCGUGUUCCAGCCCACAUCCCACAUG